CGCGGAGGCGGGGAGGGCAAGAACUAGGUCAACACUGGUGGCAGCUGACAGAACUACCAACCAAACACUAACAAUAACCAACCAGUCUGGCUGCAGACUCUACACUACAUAGUGUGUAUGGUGUCGGCUGGAUAAGCGUGAAAAGAUCCUGAGAUGACGUCACCCCAGGCCUCCCCGCAGAACAAGCCAGCGCCGACCUCCUCCCUGCCUCUGGGCAAGUGGCAGUUGAUGAUCCGCGAGUCUACUGUCCCCAGCCAUCAGCUGGUCGCCUGGACCCGUGUCUGGAGGCUGGCCCGUCUCCUCCUGGACACUGGAUGUUGAAACUCCCCGGACUCCUCAGGUUCAUCGACAAUAUAGUUCUAGUACUUAGUCGCACCAUUCCGUCACCCGACGGUGAACCUCCCCGCGUGUUGUUCUCAUUCUGUGAAUGAUUCCCCUAUGAGUUUCUCCGGGAUCCUAGGUGCUAUAAGCAAUAACUAUCCCCAAGCGGUCCAGUAUACCGAGGUGACCGCUUGGGACAUUAAUAACCUUGUUUUUGAAACGACCUUUUUAGAACUGUAUAUAUUUGUGUUCAUCUUAUUCGUGUUUUCUCAAAUUCUACUAAACAGCAUUCGUUCCUCACCAGUGCAAUUUCAGCGGUCGCUGUGUCUAAGUUGUUUUCCGUCCCUCUCUCGAAUAUCCGUACCUGACAGAUUUCAGUGGUGCCAACUAAUAUUUUAUGUCGAGGCUGUGUGUAGCCCAAGUUACCACCCAGAGAAGGUUGGCACCCUUGUUACCACCUUCCUAAUAGUAUGCUAGAACUGUUUGUGGCUCUGUAUAGUUUAACUCCGAUGAUAUAUUUUUAUUUGUGUUGAUGUUGACGUUGAUAUUGGUUUUGUAAUAAAUUAUUAAUUACCUAAUUGUUA